GAUUCGGCAAGCAACUUUUUGAUAAAAAUCAAGGUCAUCGUAAAAUCAAUGAGUGAAGACGAUAACAACUGUAUGAAUUUGUUUGUUCUGUCAUUUUAACUUGUGGUCAGACAAUUGACGAAGAUGACGGAGAUUCUGACGGUGAAUCUUAGAAAAAAUUGGAGUCGGUUGAUAAAGAUGCAUUAAGAGCACUAAGUAACAUUGCAGACAGUAUGUGUUUUUUGUUAUAAAAUGUUUUAAAUAUCAUAAGAGCAAACAACGAAAUAUUCUCAUA